AGUGAACGCUGGCGGUAGGCCUAACACAUGCAAGUCGAACGGCAGCACAGUAAGAGCUUGCUCUUACGGGUGGCGAGUGGCGGACGGGUGAGGAAUACAUCGGAAUCUACUUUUUCGUGGGGGAUAACGUAGGGAAACUUACGCUAAUACCGCAUACGACCUACGGGUGAAAGCAGGGGAUCUUCGGACCUUGCGCGAUUGAAUGAGCCGAUGUCGGAUUAGCUAGUUGGCGGGGUAAAGGCCCACCAAGGCGACGAUCCGUAGCUGGUCUGAGAGGAUGAUCAGCCAGACUGGAAGUGAGACACGGUCCAGACUCCUACGGGAGGCAGCAGUGGGGAAUAUUAGACGAUGGGCGCAAGCCUAAUCCAGCCAUACCGCGUGAGUGAAGAAGGCCUUCGGGUUGUAAAGCCCUUUUGUUGGGAAAGAAAAGCAGCAGGUUAAUACCCCGCUGUUCUGACGGUACCCAAAGAAUAAGCACCGGCUAACUUCGUG
rnacentral:rRNA from 1 species